rnacentral:lncRNA from 1 species
UCUGGAGAGAGUCUGGUUCUUCUGAGAGCUCAGAGGUAAGCCAGGACAAAACUGGAAUUAGGCCUAAAGCUCAAAACCUGAGCUGACUUAUUCUGGUUUAACUGGAAAUAAAUGGUAGCAAGGCUUCUCAUGGGAGAGUUGGUGGUCAGGGAUUGUAGCAGACAGAGUGUUUUGGAGAAACACAGGGGAGAAAUGAAGAGGAGAGGGAGAGCGUGCUGCAUGGAGAAGAAGACGCAUCUACUGUACAGAGGCAACGAUAAGUGAAGGGGAACCACAUUUUCAGACGGCUACACAAACUCCCAUUCCUUUCAAAGCUGUUUGAUAGUUACUGUGUAAAAUAAGUAAGCAUUCUACUGUUUAUCUGUUCUAUACUUAUCUCAUUAUGUAUUUUAAGAACUAGACUGUUUCACCUGAUGAUCAGUUUUGAAUGUUCCUUAAAAAAAUCAACUUCAGAAUACAGAUUAGCUGAAAAAUCAAUUUGAAAAUACUUUUUAAGUUGGUAAAUUUUUUAAAUUCAUUUCAAAAGGAAAACAGUGUAAAACAUUUUCUGGAAUCAGAUCAGAUGCUUUUUCCUUCGGGUUAUGUAGUACUAACUUUGAAAACGCAAACUUGAUAACUAAGAUUGCCCCGCACGUUUCUUAAGGAGGAAAUUUAUCAAAUUAACACACCAAAAAAGCUGGUUUCGUUUUUAGGAAAUCAAAUUGUUAUGACUUUAUUAUACCAAAUAGAUGCUACAUUUCCAUCAGUACUGCAGUCCACUAAUAGAAUUCAAACAGUUGUUAUAUUCUGCAAAGACAGAUAGAAAUAUUUAUCUUAAACUCUUAUAUGAAUCCUCCUUAAAUAAAAGUAAAUAAUUCUGUAGUGGCUGAAAGUAUCCGUGUUGUUUCACUCAGUUUUAUUCUUAUGAUACUUCUUCAAUCAACUUCAGGAUGGAAAUAACGAGACUACGCGUGUAUAUGCUUUAACGACAGUGGGAACGGUGUAUCGCCUCCAUCCUUUUCCUGAACAACUACCUCUCAAUACAGAACAGUCAAUCAACAGUCUGCCCUGACACGUACAAACGUAAGACACAAAAUAAAUUUUUAACCCUUAUGUAUUCUAUACUCAAUAUGAACUGGACAAAUGAAAUUAAAAUACAAUACUAUAAAAUAUGAAUUCUGUAUAUUAUUAAUGUAGUCAUUAAAACUUAAAUUCUAAGCUUAUAUCAUGAAUGGAAAAUGGCAGUAACAAAUUCUUUACUCAUAUAUUUUCCUUUUGAUGUUUGCUGCCAUUGUUCCCCUUUAGAAACUAUUUCUUUCCCCCAAAACUUCAGGUUGUUUGGUACUUGUCAAGGCCUUCUUGUUUUUCAUAGUGUAUUUUACUGCAGAUCUGCUCUAUGAAACACCAUCGAUGAGUGGCAGAAGUUAACAGCACAGUGUUGUGAGGUUAUGACAUCUUGUUCUGGUCUUUUUCAAAUAAUAAAAUGAGCUAAUAUGACAGACUAGAACUGAGCUAAUGUGGUAUUUAUCUAGUACUACUUCAGGCCUCUAAUAAAUUGUAUUGAACUACAUCCAGUGUCACGUGUCACUAAGAAUUAUGUCUGUGCAGAAAUAAGAAACAACAAAUGACUGACUUACUAAAUAUGGGUUUAGAUGCACACAAAUCUAGGCCCAAUAAUACUAAUAUUAUAGUACCAUGCAAUAUUAUAAAAUAUAUACACCUGCAACACAAAACAUGUGAGGAAAAUUUAAGUAUAGCAAGGUUAGUGGAUGUCAAACUAUUUAUUAUUCAUUGCAGAAAAAUUACAACAUUUCUGCUUUGUUGUUACACAUGAAAAAUAAACUUUUUGUAUAACUAAAGCUUUAUUUAUUUAAUAUGUGAAAGGCAUUUUUGUAAUUACUUUGAUACUACCUUUAAUGAGAAGGAAAGAGCACUCUCUUUUUGAAGAAUAAAGAUCUAGUUCGAUGACCACAACACCGUGUUCAUGCAGGCUAGGUCUAGGAUUUAAUAUUUAAAGUUAAGGGGGCGAUAUUUAUUCACAUCUGUCAUAAAGGAGCAGGGAAUGUGGUUUACCUUGAUGUGUUUUGAUUUAUUCUGCAGGCCCUGAGGUUAUCCCCGUGAAUUAGAGAGCAUCAAUAAGGAAAGAGCAUCUCCCCUAUCCCAAAAGUGAUAAUUACCAACAUCACUAUUGAUCCAACUAUUGAUGCAUUGCUAAUUGUUUCUUGCAGUUAUUUAUUUAAUUCUAUCUCUGGCCAUGUGAGUGUGUUGACCUUGUGCAGGAGGAAAUAUAAGGCUUGUUCAGAAGAGGAAAAACACACAUUAAGAUUCCACUUUAAAGCCUAAAACAGCGAGGACUUUUUUUCCGCCCUUUCCAUCUGAUGGAGGAACCUCGGUUAUGAUCUGUUCAUGAGGAUGAAGAGCAUGAGCUGAAUUGCAAUUUGAGACAACUUUGGAUCCGGUUCUUACUCCACUGCAGCCUUGAAGAGUGAUGUUCUUGAAAAUCUCCACAGACGUUAGUCAGAGUUCAAUACGGUGUCAUAUUGAUCAAUUACAACACUACAUUAUCUGGGAUAUAGAAUAAUAAUGAAGAUUAUUCAUCAUUAAGGCUGUAUUGGAUUUAGCACAUCAAAAAUGAAUUCAAAUCUCAAAUUAGUUUCCCUGCUCGUCAACUCAAGGUCUAACUUUUUAUGAGGGUGAAAUUAUAUUUGAGAUAAAUUGUGAAAGACAUUUGGAGAAAGUUCUAAAACUGAACACUGACUCGAGCCAAGUUUUUUUUUGUACGCCUGCUUUUUUGUUUGUGGAAAAACCCGACAGUAUAAAUAAAAAAAGAGACAUGCUUGCAGGUACAGAACUUAUAGCGAUGUGCCAGACCGAAAUAGCUUGAAUUAUUGCAUUUGUGAAGAAAGUUAGAUCAGAUUUGAGAGUAAAACAUUAAAAGUUAGUUAUAAAACUUAUAAAAGUGUGUCUGCAACAGUUCAAGAGUAAACUUAAUAAUUUGGCUGCUCUGUCAAGAUGGUAGCAUCAUUUUUGGAUUGCCAAGAUAAUGCCCUAUUAUCCUGUUUUUGUCCUAGAAUUAUUGAAGAUGUCAAGAAAUCUUAAAUCAUAACUGACUUGUGAGGGAGUAUUGUUUUAAAAUUUCAUAUUUUGAUGUGGUCAAAACCUUAGAUAAAAAAAUCUAUUUAUUUUGUUUGAUUAAGAAGUUAAAUGUUUGUAACAGGGCAUUAGCAUGAUAGAAGAACGGACGAUCCACUUGCUCAGACUUCAGGUGCUUUUGGACACGCACAGCAUGGAUGCCACAUCAUGGCCAAAUGCUGCAUGUGUCUGUCCAUGUGCAAGCAUGUGUGUCGUCCAUGGUUGUCCAGGGAGGUAGUCGGCCUUUGCCAGGACAUCUGCUACCUGUCACAACACUUUUGUGUAUGUGUGUGUGCGUGAGCUCUUAAUUUAGUGUGCCUCGCCUGGUUCUGCCCACCCAUCAGGUACCUGGUUAGACCUUUAGUCGGAGCUGUAACAGAACAUCAGUGAGGGCCAUGUAGGUGUUGAAUGCAAGGCGUGUGUCAGGCUUGUGUCCCAGCAUGACGGUGGGAAGUCCUUGCAGAGGAAGAAGGGGGGGCACUCUCUCUGCUCACAGGUUGUUGGAUUUUGGAUCCUGUCCAAGAGAGAAAGAAGAGGUGAUGACGAGAGUAGAAACAGCACUGCUGGCCUCAGGAUGAGCCUGCCUGACUGCUGACCUUUGUACCUUUAGCACAUACUGUAUAACCCAUGGCUGGAUCUCGCCUGAUUAAUUAUCUUGACACACUGUUAGCGAGGGAUUAUGGCUUUUUUUCCACACACACAUAUUUACAAUGGAUGUCAGGGGUUGAUGAUUUGAAGAUAAUUACAGUGUAUUUAUUUUCUCCCUGCUCUUCCCUCUGUGUCUCCCUCCAACUCCCGCCCCUCCAGAUUGUGAAGCCAAGCCUCUAGCAGUGUAGUGCUGAAGGUGUGUUUGUGCUGUUAUGCCCUCUGGCUUGGCUGCCAGCUUACUCUCACUGAUCUGAGCCAGAAGGCAGACUGCCGAGGAAUACCGAUCACCUUGCCCAGACCGAAUCCUUUGAGCUCUCUCUGGCAUCUUUCCCCCUUCUGCCAGUUUCCUCCUCUGCUC